UAAAUAGGCAGAGCAGCUGGUGGCGCUAGCAUCACAUGCGCUUCUACAACUUUUAAGAGGACGAAGAAGAAGCCCGCGGUGCAUUUUGGGUCAGUAGCAUGCCCGUAGGAUGCACCGCGACCAACCUACAAUGUGGGCGUGUCUAGUAUCUGAAGUAGUAUCUGAAGUAGCAUGCUACUCGCUCCGGUGGCCAAUUCGGACAUGCUAGAUACUACUUCGACUACUACUUGGCAAUUCGGACGCAGCUUCCGUCUAGCUCGAGCCUCUCCAAACGGAAGUUGUUCUACGUAUGCGUUGUUAGCAUAGACUGUAUAUAAGAUGGACGCCGUGGUUCCGCCUUCUGCCUGUAUACGGAUUUGAAGCCAAAAAGCUCUCAGUAAUUCCGGGUUUUUCUCCGCUUCCUUGCAACCAGAGCUGCGCAGUAGCGUUGUACGCAGACGUUUUUGGCUGGGCGGGAGACUCGGCGCGAUGACGUUCCGCUCAAAAAGUGCCCCCCCCCCCCACCCCCACCCCCACCCCCCGGAUGUCCUUCCAGCCUUUCAUCGGUAACGCUAAUAGCUUCCCCGCUCGUCGCGACCAAGAAUAAGUAAGUUCCACUUCUCCUGAUAUAAUGUGAAAUUUGUGAGCGUACUAACUUUUAAGAACAUAAAAUACCAUCAUAACUAAUACGAAUAAAGAUAUCAUCUAUUACUUGAUUGGAAGUAAGUCAUCUCUCUUUGUUGAAAGAAACGGUGUAAAUGUAAGCUAAAGUAGCAUUGCAUUUUAACACUAGCCUUGGUAAAUUAAACAGCAAAAUACGUGAUAUUUUUAGUUUAUCAGUUGUUAAGAUAUAUGCUAUUGUCCUGUGAUUAAAAAUGAACAAAAUUCUGAAUGAACAGCAAAUAUUUAUGUUGUUCUCCUUUUUUUAGACAAAGAGAAAAGAAGCUUCAAAGAUGAGCACAACAACAUCAGCCACUGUGACCAGACGUAAGGAUAAAAAUUCAUUGAGAUGGAUGCUGAUUUAGUUGGAUAUGAUUUUAGUGAGACUUGUAUUAGGUAAUGUUAUAGUUUUUUUUGUGAUGUAACAAGAGCAAGCUCAAGUUUUCAAUUCCAAAUUAUAUCUACUGUAAAAAAUAUUAAACAGCUUGUGAUUCAGCAUGAUGUGGAAUCAUGCUGAAUCACAAGCCAUGCAAGGUUUUGUAGGAAAAUGACUUUUUUUUUUCUUUUAUUGUUCAAUACAUUUACAGAAAUCAAACAGCAGGACCUCCAGGAUCUCCAUCGGCAGUUCCCCACCAUGAGGAUCAUCUUCUCUGCCAUCACCCAGAGGAGCCGAUGGAGAUACAGCCCCAAGAAAAUGGACAAAGCCGGGCGCUAUGUGAACAGUGUGAUGGCUACUUUUGUUUCAUCUGUUGGCGGAAGCAUUGUGCAUCAUCCUCAAAUAAAGCACAGAGAUCCUGGCCUUUUUUUAAACGAUGGAGUUCAUUUCACCACUUUGGGAUAAUGACAUUUUUUUGAAUAAUAUUGCCUUGUGUUUGAAAGACCAAAUCUAGUAGGGUGGUGCUAGAUUUGGGAUUUCACCUACAAUAGGCAGCAAAAAAUGGUCAGGAUUUAUCUGCUUUAUUUGUGAUUGAUGUGCACAUUUUGUUUAAUUGUUUACUCGAGCACAAUUUUGUGAAUUUUUUUUUACAAAGGUAACCAUCACACUGUUCAAUUCUGUCACAGCUCUUCUUCCUCCUUCUCUCUCUCUGUCUUACAAACUUUCUGCCGUACCCCAGCCAUUCCACCCGAUGGUCUUCCUCAAGGCGUUUUCCCCACGACGAAUGUAGCUGGGGAUGUUUUUUAUUGUUAGAAAAAUUAAAUUAAUGUUGAACCUUCACAUGCU